rnacentral:tmRNA from 1 species
GGGACUGUAAGGUUUCUACAUGUUAAUAUAUUCUUUAGAAGUUGUAGAAUUUUGCUAUAUUGCUUAAUAAAACGAAUAAAUCCAAAAAAUCAAAUUGUUCCCUUAUCUCAAACUUUAAUACUUGCAUAAGUCCUAUUGUUAUAUCAAUAAGAUUUUGUAUUUGAGAAUCAGGUAUAUAAAUAUAGGUAUACUUGAUAAUAUAUUUAUAAUAUUGCUCUUAAAAUUCAUCAGUUGUAAAGAUUGAUUGUAUUAAGCUAAGUUUUAAAUUACAUUAAAUUAUUUUUUUGACUUAUAUAUUUAUAUUAAUUAUAAAUAGAUUACUUCUAAGAUAACUGUAUUGACAUGGACGUGGGUUCGAAUCCCACCAGUUCCA